AAUGGCGAUGAUGAACACUUUUUUACAGUUUCACAGACCUGUAAUGAUUGCGGAUGUGAUCGCUUAUAUUGAACAUCUAAGGGACUGAGCCAUU